AAAUUGAAGAGUUUGAUCAUGGCUCAGAUUGAACGCUGGCGGCAGGCCUAACACAUGCAAGUCGAACGGUAGCACAGAGGAGCUUGCUCCUUGGGUGACGAGUGGCGGACGGGUGAGUAAUGUCUGGGAAACUGCCCGAUGGAGGGGGAUAACUACUGGAAACGGUAGCUAAUACCGCAUAACGUCGCAAGACCAAAGAGGGGGACCUUCGGGCCUCUUGCCAUCGGAUGUGCCCAGAUGGGAUUAGCUAGUAGGUGGGGUAACGGCUCACCUAGGCGACGAUCCCUAGCUGGUCUGAGAGGAUGACCAGCCACACUGGAACUGAGACACGGUCCAGACUCC
rnacentral:ncRNA from 1 species